GGGGUUGGAGGCUUUGGAUCCCUAAUUCCCUAAACUGAAACACAUCAACCUGCCGUUUCGAGUGACUUUCUCCAUCCCCGCCUUUCUCUCGUCUCCGAGCUUCAGGAUUCAGGAGUUUAGAUUGGAGCUACUUUCAUUGCUUGAUGCAAUGAUGCCUAAUGCCUUGAUUUGCUAUUUUGCUUUGGUCAAUCUCGAGUUCUCGACCAGACGACCACGGAUCACCUGAUUCACCUCAAUGAAAAUUUAAAUUAAACAAAAUGGAAGAUGAGUUUCUUGGUGAUUGUAUGGUCCUUCACAUUGAGAAAGAGUAUGCUGAAUCUAUUGACAAUGAUGAGGUGAUUAAAGAGUUUGAAGCUUCAUGUACUCGUAGAGUUAGAUUUAGUUAGUUUAUGCUCUUGUAUUAUAUUGCAUUGCACGUUUAUUUUAUUAUUGAGUUUGUUCUUUAAUUUUGUAUAUGCAUUAGAGGGGUAAGGCUCAUUAUGUCCCCCCCUGACUGAGUGUAUCAUU